GAUGAACGCUGGCGGCGUGCCUAAUACAUGCAAGUAGAACGCUGAAGGAGGAGCUUGCUCUUCUGGAUGAGUUGCGAACGGGUGAGUAACGCGUAGGUAACCUGCCUGGUAGCGGGGGAUAACUAUUGGAAACGAUAGUUAAUACCGCAUGACAACAGUUAUUGCAUGAUAACUGUUUAAAAGGGGCAACUGCUCCACUACCAGAUGGACCUGCGUUGUAUUAGCUAGUUGGUGAGGUAACGGCUCACCAAGGCGACGAUACAUAGCCGACCUGAGAGGGUGAUCGGCCACACUGGGACUGAGACACGGCCCAGACUCCUACGGGAGGCAGCAGUAGGGAAUCUUCGGCAAUGGACGGAAGUCUGACCGAGCAACGCCGCGUGAGUGAAGAAGGUUUUCGGAUCGUAAAGCUCUGUUGCAAGAGAAGAACGAGUGUGAGAGUGGAAAGUUCACACUGUGACGGUAUCUUACCAGAAAGGGACGGCUAACUACGUG
rnacentral:rRNA from 1 species